UGCAGUCAAGUCAAAUUCAGCCCCUGUUCCCAUUGUAGUGGGCGCUGGCCCAGAUGGCUGCCACAGCAAGCCCUGCGGCUCAUGGGCCCCGGGUCCCCCCAUGCUGGGACCUGGGGAUAAGUCUGGCUGCAGACAGGG
rnacentral:snoRNA from 1 species